rnacentral:lncRNA from 1 species
AGCUUCCCUCUUUUCGUCUCUGCCAUUUCGCCGACCACCAGUUGCCGCCGCUGGAGGUGGUGACCAGCCAGGCGGCGACCUCUCCUUCUUCCCCUCGCCUCUCUCUCUCUCCCUCUCAUUUUCUACCGGAAGUGAUGACCGGCGGCUGUCGUUCAACCAUGACAAACCCCACUGCCGUGUUCUUCACUUCCUUUUCCUUGUCUGUUCUAAUGGCUCGUUAAUUUUGCAGGUUUGAAACCCGUCGGGCGAAUCAGAUCUGGCCGGUUUUUAGCUUUCCGGUGACUCUCUUACUUCUCUGUUAUAUGGUUAUGUAAACCCAGUAUUAAUAAAAGCAGAUCUAUAAAAUAUGAUCGAAAACUUUAUUCUUUUUGUGGUGCAAAUAAAACUAGCCAGAAUUAAUUUUCCGGCGACAUCAUGAACUCCGGCAAAGCUCCUCUUUUCUGUUUUAUCAACAUCUUUGGUGAUGGCCGCUCGUUUGGUGUAGUAUUUUUGCUGCUGUUAUGACUAACUUUGUCCCUCUUAAUAAUCUAUUUUAUUCUGCUGAUAUGUUGGACUACUGGGACUUCUCUUUAGCCUCUCGUUUGGUUUUAUGAGGCCGUGACUUUGUCAAUGUUAUUAUUGGUGCUGAAACUUUCUGUUGCUUUUUUGUUUGAACCCUGUACUGAUCGUUACUCCCUUUUGUUGAUGUUAAUCAGCUGAGAAAAUAUUGGAUGAGAUACAUUCGUGGUUGUGAGAUCGUUU